AAAAAAGAACCAAAAAAAAAAAAAACUUUUGAUUAAAGUUUCCAGAAAACUGCAUUUGCAAGUGAUAAGUUCAAAAACCCUACCUGGUUAGGGCACACUGCGGCUUUGAGGCAAUUCCUAUAGUGCUCUGCCCCACACAGUGCAGAGGUGGCUGGCGGGCUCUGGGGUACAAGUCAGAGUCAUGCCCCCUUGUGUCCACCAUCCUCUGAUUGGCCACAGGCAAGUCCCCAAGCUCCCUCAGUUUCCUUGGCUGUAGGAUAGGGUGAUAUUAGUUCUUAGCCUGUCAGGUUGCUCUGAAAAUCACUUGAGUAUCGCACAAGGUAAGCCUGUGUAUCACCAGAUGACUAAACUGCCCUAAAUAGGUUGGGUGACCUGCUUAAGAGCAGAUCGGCAAAAGGAGCUGGAACCUGGAGCUGGCGUCCUACCUGAGUGAGGCCACUGCGUCUCCUGUCCAUAAAGGCAAUACGCAAAGAAUUCGCUUGUUUCCAUUGUUUAAAUGGGAACUUUGAGUAAAUGUUAAGUAGAUGGCUGUUUUUGUGCCUGGGUUUUAUUUUGUUUGAAGACGGUGUGCUCUGUACACUUGAAUGGUGUCCACAACAGUGCAAGUGGCAGGAAGACAUGGAGCAGCCUCAGAUCCAGUCACAUUCUGAGUAUUCAGGCUUAGAGCACCCAAGCAAGCACAUCCCUCAAGGACAGCAGGGACCUUCGAAGCUGCCUUGUGCUAGGACAAGCCCAGCCUGUGCUUGGGGAUCCUUGGGUGACUGUUCAACCGUGAGUAUUUUUUUUUUUUUUGAAGCGCACUGAUUCUUGCUUAGAAACAGCAUUCUGUCAAAGGAAGAGUUUCAAAGAACUAUCUUUGCUGGUGUGUGUGUGUGUGUGUGUGUGUGUGUGUGUGUGUGUGUGUGUGUGUGUAGUACAUUUCACACUUACUAUAACUACAGAAGCAAACAUGACCUACAGACAACCAUGGGAGCUAAGAAUUAGAUUUAUUUUUUAUUUUUAUAGCAUAUGCAGCAUAAAAAUGAAGUUUUGUUAUCUUAGAUCAGUAUACUGGAGCACAAAAAUGAAAGAUGCACAUUGAGGAAGUAUUUGUGUGUUUAUGUGCAGAAAGACUUGUGAUUCCUGGUGCUUUGUUUUCCCACCAGUGCUAGCAAAUAAGCUUCAGAAGAGAUCAAAGAAAGUGCGUCGUACCUGUGUAGAAGCAGAGGCGUAGAGAAGAUAGCCCUGGCAUUGCAUAUGCUGCUCUCUGUGUUAGCUAUGCUGUCUGCCUCCUCCUGAUCACUUUUCCAGACCACAUCCUUAAUUAGUGUAAAGGGUGCUUGGUGGGUGAUUGCUAUGGGUGUUCUUACUCUCCCACUGAGGGCGGAGUAGAGGGUAUAGCCUAUCGUGUUAUGUCUAUUUACUGAGUAUACUAAGUUAUGUCCUAAUGCUUCAGAGUUAGAGUUAUCAAUCUGUUCUAGAUUCUAGCCCUCCAUGCCCCUCCCCCGAGAUGCUGGCAGACGCCAUGAAUCCUUUAAGCACACCAUUACACAUUGGCUUGCAUAUGGAGACCUCCACAGAAAUGGAGAAGCCUCUCCAGAUGCCCUAGGCAUAGGACCCUGGACUCUGGGGGCCUUAUCCUACUGAGCAGUUAGAGUUCCCAAAGAACUGCUGUUGAAAGCAGGAAAUACCCAGGGCAGAAGUCACUCUCUGUGGCUGCUGGGUGGGGAUACAGAGCCAGAGAAAAGACAAAAGGGUGGAGAACACAUGACUAAGUAAAUAGUGGAGAGUGGUUGAUAACAUCAGGACCGUCACAUGAGGAGCCCAGAAUCCCUGUCUGGUUACCCAGGCACACAUCUGUAAAAGAGUAUGGGUUUAGGAGAGAUCUAAGGACUCGUCAUAAACCACUUUGGCUAGUUUUUCUCAACCCAGGUUUUCCUCAUUUUUUACUCCAUAAAAUUUAGUGUCUGUCUGUCUGCCUUUCUCCCUUCCUCCCUCCCCCCCUCUCUCCCUCGCUCGUGUGCUCUCUUUAUUUCGUUUGUGUUUCCUUUGUGUAUGCCACCAAAUCAGGUAGGGUCACCUGAACUUGAAGGAGUAAUUCAUAACAAAUUGGAGAGAUGGUUUUUGACCUGGAAGAAAUGUGGUACGGCUGAGUAUGUGAGGAGGUUGUUGAAUACAAAAGGAACAGUGUCUGAAAAAAAAAAUACAUAGCCCUUAUUGCUCAUAAGCUAUAUUGAAACCAGUACCGUGGGGCCACUGUGGAACAAGACGACACAAAUGUGUUAGGAGGAGUGUGCCACAGAGGUUAAGAGGAGCAGAGGACGUUAGCCAGACUCGGUGCACUCACUUUGAGUCACAUUCGAAGAAAGAUGUUCAGCGAUUGGGAAGCGCUGGUGCACAAUCAACAGAAAUUACAAACCCUUCUAGGAAAAGAUGAAGGGACUGAAGGGUUUAGUCUGACGUGGGCAGGGAAGGGCUUGCUGCUGACAGUCCUAUGUAGUAACUGCUUGGUUUCCCUUGUCUCCUUGGAUCUCCAUGCUGCCCACUCGGUCUUCUCUGCAGCACGAUGUCAUGAUACAGGGAUAAUCAGUACAUUUUCUGGCCGUGAUAAAUAGUUCAGAAAGGGGAUAAAAUACUUAAGCCUAGGCAUGUGAUGAAAUCUCUGGUGAUAACUUUCUAAAGAUGAAAGUAGGUAGCUAUUUUGAGUAUUAGAACGUUUCUGUCUUCAACACAUAGGGCCUACUGUGAUAGGCAGGUACAAAGGGAGAUAACGGUGCUUGAUUACACUAUUGUGGGGACAUAAAGCAUUAUGUGGUAGGUGCCUGUGGCAUUCAGCCACCUCCCCAUGUGGCUUCCUGAUGGAGUCGAAGUCCAGACUGCAUCCUAAAGAGCAGCCAUUGAGGUUAGCACGAUGAAGGAGUUAGUAGUGAGCCAAGGACUAGGGUGCCACAGGAGGUGGCCUAGAGAUCCCCACGAGUGGUCUGGUGAGGUGUAUGACUUGGGAAGAUGAGCAGGCAUCAGGUAAGAGGACUUGGUUGGGGGACAGGUUGGGCGAGGUAAGGAGGCUCCUGACUCAGCAGAGCUGUUAAGCAUAUUUGAAGGUAGGGAAUUCCAGAGAGAGGAGUGAACUGGCAGAUAAGGCAGUCAGCAUAAUGGCUUAGAUACCAUGUGCUAUCGCUCACUAUGCACCCAUGACACAAGAUCACAGAAGUACAGGCCUGGACCAUGGCAGAGUAUACACUGGUUGGGUAAAUGAAGAGGAGAGACAGAGUGGGAAGUCGGCUUAGUGGAUAUGGACUUCAAAUUUGAUGAACAAGCAAUUCAAAUGAGUAUCGUGGGCUUGACUGGUAUGAAGACCCGUUUGCAAAGCAGUGGUCAUAAGAGAGAAAAGAGAGAGAGAGAGAGAAAGAGAGAGAGAGAGUGUUGUUGUUGUUGUUGUUGUUGUUGUUGUUUAUUGGUUUAUAACAAGAUCUACCUUUGGUAACUUUCACUGGCCUUAAACUCACUAUGUAGCUGGUCUGGAACUCAGAACCCUGCCCCACCCUCCUGAAUGUUGGGAGUAUAGGUGUGCACCAUACCUGGUCUUUGUGUUUUAAAUUUGAUUCAAAGUCAUCAGUAGUAAAAAUUUCCAUUGUGUAUGCUCAAGGUAUGUGAUAUGACAUUUUGAUCAAAUGAUAAUUGCUUAUAGUAAAACCAGUUAUAUACAGAUCUCACAUGGUUACACUCACAUAUAUAAAAGCACCGAAAUUCCCCUAUCAGUAUCAUCUGCUGUUAUGCACGAUUCCCAUCGAUUUGUCUCAAAUAACAACUUUAUAUCCUCUAACCAGUAUUUCCUGAUCACUCUUGCCACCUUCUGUCAUUUUUCUAUAUGCUUGACUCUUUUUUAAUUCCACAUAUGAAAAGGUGAAAUUAUCUUCAAUUCCCAAUGAUGUGUUGAUAUUAAUAAUGUCUUAUAAUUAACCCCACCUACUAAUGCGUGUGUGCAUCUUUUCCCGUAGCGACCUCCUCGAACGAUUUGCAAGAGCUCUAUUGACUCUUGGCAAAGCUCACUUUUUAAAUGAGCGUUUUCUCUAUAUACAUAAAACAUGCCUUAAAGCAUCUUUGGAGGUUCAUAUAUAUAUAUAUACAUAUAUAUAUAUAUAUACACAUACAUACAUACAUACAUAUACAUAUACACAUACAUAUACAUAUACAUAUGCAUAUGCAUUCAGAUGGGUUUUUCUUAAUUGUAAAUCCCCUGGCGUUGUGUGCUGAGUCAUCUGUAUCUCCCAGGUACUUUGUGGUGUUCCCGUUACUUUCUGUUCUGCACUGCACCCUACAGCAGGACUCCAUGAGGUGCUUGGAUCUCAGCACUUGAGUGGAGUGUGUGGUCACAGUUCUUAUUAUAAAAAGUCUCAGGCCUGCUGCAGCAGUGAGCCCCUUCUGCUCAACAGCUGCCUUCCAGAAUUAAUACUUUACCACUCUUUUAUUAAAACCACGUUUUUAUUGAUGUAAUACUUUCUGAACCACCAUUUGGAUUCCAAAGAAGAGUUUUAAAGAAGUUCUCUCUAAUCCUUGUUUUUGUUUUGUUUUAAUUUGCAGAUCUGGUUUUGAGGACUCUUGGGAAUUUAUAUUAUUAGUACUGUAGACAGUGAACAGCACAGUCUGUAUCAAGGAGAACUAUUUUCCAACAUUUUUCUGUGGUCUGACUUGGUGGCCUGACUUCCAGGGGUUAUGAGGUGGUGAAUUUAUUUCUUUAGCACAGUUCCCUGUUCAGAGUGCCCUCCCCUAACAGCAGUCGUCUUGCCUUCAUGGCAGGGUUUAAGAAUGGUCGCAGGCCUGCCGUAGGGGUGGUGAGAUGCUCUAGCAGCUGGGACGGCAGGUUGGACCUAGGCAAAAGUAGCUGCCUGUGCCACAGCGCUGACUGGAAAGCCGACAGCUCUUGCGGGUUGGUUCACUGAGUGGCUGAAUGUCGUUGUGUAAAGGAGCCCUUUACAGGGAAGCUGAUUGCCCAGGAGAGCUCACCACUCCAGAUACGUCCUCCCAGAGGGCUCGUGUUGAGGAGCCCCAAUUCACAGAAAGUGCAAGACCUCAAAGACCUGAGGUGGAGGAGCUCCAGUCCUUCUGUCCAGGCUGAGAGCCAUCCCCCAUAGAUUCCCAGGAGAUCAUGGGCCUGGUAGGACCACAGCCUGAAGAUAACUUUGCAGCGGUAGCAGCCAUCUGACCUGCUUCUGCCUAAGUGCAGAUACAGCAGCCAGCCAAAGGGAAAAUUCACAACCCCCCUCGAAAGACUCACAGUGUGCCCUACUAUGUUUUCCCGAGCUAGCUUUGGAGUUGGGAUUUCGAAGCUGUCGGGUAGCCUCCGUCCGUGGAACAGGGGCAGGGGGCAGGAGGUCCAGUAGGUGAAGUGGGUGGCCUCUCUGGAGCCAUGCAGAGGAGGUGACUUUCCUGGCAGGAAUUUCGGUGACUCCCUCCUUACUAACCACCAUCCUGCCUUGACCCCCACCAGUCACACACUAUGAUCCAAUGUCACCUCAGUUCUAAGCCCCCUGCUUCCCAGCAGAGGGGACAGUUCUGUAUUAGAAGCCUGGCCAACAAAUUCCUUCAGACACAAGAAUAUCUAGAGAACUUAUAUUAAGGAAAAAUUAAGGCUCUAGCAAGUUGAGCGUUGAGCUAUGAGGCAUUCUGUUUGAGGGAGUGCAUGGUUUCCGGGGGCAAAGUGCUGUUCCUCGGGCUAAUGUCCACCCACAGCAUUUUCAUCCUCCCAAGCCUUUUCUCUACCUCAUCCCCUUGUCCACCCCUGCUUCAAGACGACGGCCCAGGACAGCAUGCAGCUCUGCAGAGAACCAGAGACUAAAUAAGGAUUCUUGAAAUUAGCCAGGAACAAGGGAUGGGAGAGGCACAACAGUUCUCUGGCAUCCUUUUUUCCUUAGUGUUAAAAUGUAGGACGGAUGCAGACUCCCCUCCUUCCACCACUCAUCCCCACGGUAUGCACAGACCAUGUGAAUCACCUUCUAAAUCCACAGCCAGGGAGUUAGCUCCAAGGUUAGGUCCGCAGGAAAUGGGACGGAUGAGGUCAGAAGCCCUGCAGAGGGAACAUGAGCUACUCAGCACGGGAACCCUAGGCAGCGUCUCCAGAGUGCAGCUUUUUGGGCGAGUCAUACCUCUGUGGAUGGGACUUCUAUCUCCCAAAUGUUACCUUGCAAAGUAUUAAAAACUACUAACCAUUUAGAUGAAACGUAAAGUUCGGAUGUAUUCAUAGACCCUGGGAUUAGAUAACAGGUUAAUGAGGCAACAAGACUCCUGUUUGCAGCCAAGUGUGCUCAGCACACACAUCAUUCUAGCACUUUGGUAUCUGAGGCAGGGGUGUAGAGAGUUCAAGGCCAGCCUGGGCUAGAUAAUGAGUUGGAGACACAGCUGCACCGUCUCGAAAUGAAGCAAAGCUGUGCAGGGAGAACAUAAAUUAUUUGUGUUUGUAUAACUAUACAAGCUUUAUCUUGGAAACUUGGUGCUGAGGUGGAAACUACAGUUGGGUAUUUUGUGCUACUACCUGUGGGACGCUUAAAGGUGCUUUUCAGCAUGUUGGACAAGCCAUGGAUAUUUCCCAGUGUGGCAUUUUUAAGUUUUUAUUUAACUGAGAGUUAACGCCCACGUGCCAAGCUGUCAACUCACCCGUAAUCUUCCACGUGCUCCUCAUGACUAACCCAAGCCCCAGGUCACUGUGGGUACAUUUCCUAUGGUCUCAGUGUUCUGGGGUCAGAGCAAACCAGGAAAGCUCAUGUUCCUCAUUCCUAUAAACUGCCCACAACACAGAGCCUCACUGAACAUAGGUAGAAGAGGCUGCUAUCAGCAACACACAUGGAGACGUGCACCACAGGCCAGGCACCGUGCUGGGUCCCGGCGUGGCACAAGACCUCUGCAGUACUCAGCGCACACAGAGAAACCUGAGGGUUGAUCAUUUUCUUGGGAAUCACAUACCCAACGAUGCAGGGACCACGAUUCAAAAUUAGACAUCCAGCUUUGAAUUUGUAUCCUAUGUGGUUUCCUGACUCAUACUUUAGAUUUUAUCUGUGGGACCAUUAUUCAGUUGGAUGCAGUCACGUCUCUUCGGUGCAUUACGGAAGAAUGCCCUCAUCCAGCUGAAUGUUUUCAUGGUAUUCCGUGUUCUAGGUCACCCUGUGACAGCUUAUUAGUGAAGAAUACACUCUGCCCUCCUGCCUCUUAAGAGAGCGCUGUGCUCAUAAGAGAUGCUUUCAACUAGGGCACUUCACAAAGCGGCUGCCUCCGCCACCAAGACGGUAAGGAAAGCGGUGUGGUUCAUGAGUCACUGCUUCCCUUUUCAUGACUACAAACCAAUGAUCGCUCACCACCCUUGUGCCUUCAAGGAAGGUCAGCUCACACAAUUCAAAUGUAGCAUUAAAACCCAGAAUCCAGCUGUCUUACAUACGAUCAUUGCCUGUUAAACUGUGAUUCCUCCGUCAAGGGAGAACUUGACUUCCCAUGUAUACUGGUCCCCCUCUCCCCGCUUAGUGAAUGAAGGAAGCAGGGAGAAGCUGAAGUUUUCCCCUCUCUGCCACCUCAGUGAAACACUCGCCCCUCCUGGGUGCUCCAGUGUGCGUUGCAGCUUACCAGUGUUUGUCUUUCCUGACUCAGGUUCCUCUUAGGAACUGUGAAGAUGGUGUGAUCUCGGGGUGAAUACAUGGCUUUGAAUGAGAGGCAGAAAUGAGGGCCGUGUGACGUGUUCACACACAUUUUGUCGGUCUCCUAGCAGCUUCAAUGGCUCUCUCUGUUCCCACCUCACUGAUGAGCAGACACCAGCCUGCCCCAUGUUGACGUGUGAUGAUGAGUGACCCAGCCAAGACCUCAACGUUUUAGGGUCUACAAGCCUUGGACACUAUUCCCUGGUUUUCUGUAGUUCCUUAGCAGAUGUAGAAACUGUUCUCACAGCCUUUUACGAAAGCCAAGGGUUGUUCUUGUCCUAAGCAGCUGGACCCAGAAAAUGGGUAGAUUUAGGUUUUUUCCUUUCUGCUCUUCAGCCCCAUUAGCAGCCUCUUGGCCCCAUCCAUGCACUCUUUCAGUUAAAGUCUUAGACUGACAAGUGCUAGAACCCCGCCAAGUCACAAGACGUUGACAUUGAGUCUUGUGUGUGUAGAGCAUGCUGGCUGCUUCCCUUCAUUGUAGAGAUUUGGGAAAGUAAGAGCUGUGGGGUUUGGGUAAAAUGCCUGAGCAAAUUGAAUGUGAAAACAUGGUUGUGUCGGUGAGAACUGAGCAAGGCAGGAGGUGUGUGUACCUGGGCAAUGAGGAAGUAAGCGAGAGAAUGUGCGUAGGCGGCCCGUGUGCUUGGCACAAAAGAGGCCUUAGAGAGCUUGCUGGCUGGGACGGGCUGUGUAAUUAAAACAGUUGAACAGAUCUUAUUAACAGCAGGGUGGUGUUCUCUGAAGGCCUACAGGGGAAUGCAGAGAGAGUAAGAGAGCUGGAAAUGUCUUUGGACACAAGGAUUUUCACAAACAGGUAGGCUGAAGAGCAUAGAGUCCAGGCAACAGUUCAUAAAUUUAAAAAUGUGACUUUCUUUUAUACAGUACUGGUCAAAGGAGGGAUUCUAAAUUUCGCAGACUAAUGGAUGUUACCCCACUGUAGAACACAGGACCAACGUUAAUCUGUUAUUUUCAAUAAUUGUGGCACUGGCCUUUUAUGUUUGGCUCUCUGGCGAGACCUCCCACCGUUUAUCCCUCUGCUGUUGGGGAGGAAAAAGUUAGGGAGAGGAAGACGCAAUCAGAGAUCCCUUCUCAGAGGUGUUUGAAGGUUUGAGGCCUUCAGCUCGGGACAGCUAAGGCAGGCUGACAUAUUUGUCCUGCACUCACUGACCAUGUGCCCAUGACAGUCCCUGGUGAGCACUGAACUCAGGGUGAUCAAUGAAGUGACAGGGAAAUAAGGGUGACCUCUUUUAUGGUGGAACUGAGUGGCCCCAGAGCACUGUCCAAUGUCUGCUAAGAGAAAGACAUGCCACUGAACGGGUCUCUAGGAAGUGAUUUCGGCAACAGAGCCAAGGGAUGAAAAGGAAUAUAGAGUGAUGGGGGAGUUAGGAAUGAGGGCUCCAGGCAGAAAGGAGAACCAACCGUUUGUUGGGCCUGUAGAGGAGGCCCUUGAAUAGUGGUUCCCAACUUUCUGAAUCCUGUGACCCCUUAGUCCAGUUCGUUGUGCCAUGUGACCCCUAAUCAUGAAUUAUUUUCCUUGCUACGUAGCAGCUGCAGUUUUGCCGCCAUUGGAGUCCUAAGUAAGUGUCUGAUACACAGAUGGUCUUAGGCCAGCCUGUGAAACAGUCAUUCACCCCUCCCAUGGAGGAGUCACAGCCGACAGGUUGAGAACCACUGCCCUAGAGUGCGGGGCGAGUUCAGCAUUAGAGGGUCACCAUGAAGGCAGUACAAAGGGCGCCUCCAUUUCAGAAGCCUCUUGGAAUCUCUGGAUACGCCCCUGGGAAGUUUCCAGACGCUUAGGAGCACCCCACCCUAAGCCACUGCUUGCCACUUCCUGUUCCUAUGGUUGUCCCUUGGUGAGGGGAAUAAACAAAGGCUGGGAAAGCACUUGACAGGGGAUCUGAAGCCAGCCCCUUUCAGGUGCCCCUGAGGGUGACAGUGGCUACCCUGCUAUGAGAGGACACAGCUGCUUCUACUGCGGCUCACAGGGCCAGGGCGAUGAGACCAGAGAAGGGGCACUGUGACAGACAGACAAGGUGGUUGGGUGGUUAACUCUAAAAAGAGAAGCCCACAAAGCUGGACUACAGCCUUCAAGGGAGUGGGGUGCACAGAUUCCCACAGUCCAACCUCAGGAAGGUUGAGACCUCUGGUCAAAGGGGGGACAGUCCUGCACCCCCUUACUUGCAGACCCCACGAGCACCCCAUUUACUAUUGUACCUCCAGUUUCCACUUCCCGUUCUGUUUAUUUGAAGUGCACUGCCUCCGCUUGGGAAGAAGUGAACUUAGACCUUGGAGCCUUGUUGGGGUGGGAGCUAAAAGGAAGUCCUGUGGAGCCCAAAAGUGUUGUGUCAACACUGGUUCUGAGCGUCUAAUCUUUUACUACCUGUAGGGACAGGUGGAUGGAGUUGUUGCUGGCAGGGAAGGCCAGAUUCUUUCAAGGUUACGAUUGUGCAAUAGCGAAUGCCUUUUGAAGCUGGGGGUGGGGGUGGUCAGAGCAGCAGCUCUCACGGCAGUGGGUCAGAGCAGCUCACAGCGCUCUUAUACAUGGGAGCUUAUUCACUGGACUAUCCCAGGUGAUUUCUGAGCAGCACAGAGCAUAGAGCACGUAAAGCUGGGUCUCCAGAGAGCAGCCAUUACUCUUAGGCUAAGCAUUUCUCUUCAGUGAGGAACCCCAACACCUUCUCUUUAGAGUUUUCCUGAGGUGCUAGUCUAAAGCACUUGCUUUAACAGCUCUUUUUAAACAGUGCCUUUGUUUAAAUAUCCAACGGGAAAGAUGAGAGUAAUUUUUCUCCAUCCAAUAAGAAGGGGCAGUAAGUGGCCCUCCACCAGGUUGCAACGGCAAGGCUGUGCUGAGCUUGCGUCUGGGACUGCAACCAGACAAGGGGAAGUUUGAGAAGUUGGAGGUAUUUUUAGCUGAUCAGGCCUGCUGUGAAACUGAUCCCUCCCAUAGUUCCAAUGGGCGUGCUUUUCACUCUGAAUGUGUUACCUACCGAUUCAGACACCCAUGAAGAGGGUAUGCGUUGUUCAAGGGUGAUUGAGAAGCAACUUUCAAACCCACAUGUGCGGGCAUGGUGUCCUGCAUCCCUCCAUUCUGCCAAGUGUGUGGUGUGACCAGAAACCCUUUUGCAGAGCUAUGGUUUACUCCAAAAACUCUCCAAGGUGGAGGACUCCUGUUUCAAAACCAUUGGUGCCUUCCCAUUCAUUCCUCUGUCUGCUUUGAGGCCCUGCUGGGGGAAUGGUGGACCUGCUCAAUACCUAAGCAACAAGGAGUUAACUCUAACGUUCUACGCAUAAAGUACAACUCCUUAGGUGGUCGGGCAGGACCCUCCCUGGAACCUCUGGGCAGUCUCUAAGGUCACUUUCGAUGGUGAGAGGACUCUUGCAAGUAACCAGAAAAGCAUAAAUUCCCACCUGAGGUUUUACUACCCUUUUUUAUUUGCAUGGUAGCUAGCCCUGCCGGCCACCCCAGCCUGUGGUACUGUGGAGUAGCGCUAGAAGAGGAUCAGGAAGCUCUAAGCCCUGCCUCUUCCCCAACUGUCCACCUCUCCCCACAUGUGGAAUCCACAGCCCCACUGCUUCCAGACUAAGCUUUGAGCACACUGGAGUCGUACGUACAUUAUCUUCUUGUUCCCCCUCUGUGAAGUGCUAGAAGCCCUCCUCCCAGGUGGUUGUGCACUUGGGUGUGUGUGUGUGUGUGUGUGUGUGUGUGUGUGUGUGUGUGUG
ensembl:lncRNA LOC120102485 uncharacterized LOC120102485